rnacentral:lncRNA from 1 species
ACGAAAGCUUAUGCUCCCAAUACUUCUGUUAGUCUUAAAGGUGCCACAGGACCUUCUGUUUCUUUUUUUCUGUAGUCUCCAGUCCUGAUUAGCUCAUCUGAUGAUCCCUCAGAAUCCUCCUCCACUAGAACUCCUAGCACCAGGAACCCAACACGACAAGGAGAACUGUGUCUGGAGAUCCACAUGAUAUAAUAAUAAACUAAGGAAAUCAGCUUGUAAUUGUACCAGUUCUAUGGCUGCAUGGGUUAUGUGACUAUCAGUGAAGAGACAACUGAAGAGUUUUUCUGUUCCAGAACCACAGAUCU